rnacentral:tmRNA from 1 species
GGGGGCGUUUUGGCUUCGACGGGGGUAAGAUGGGUUUGAUAAGCGAGUCGAGGGAAGCAUGGUGCCUCGAUAAUAAAGUAUGCAUUAAAGAUAAACGCAGAAGAUAAUUUUGCCAUUAGCAGCUUAAUUUAGCGCUGCUCAUCCUUCCUCAAUUGCCCACGGUUGAGAGUAAGGGUGUCAUUUAAAAGUGGGGAACCCCGAGCCUAGCAAAGCUUUGAGCUAGGAACGGAAUUUAUGAAGCUUACCAAAGAGAAAGUUUGUCUGUGGACGUUCUCUGAGGGAAUUUUAAAACACAAGACUACACUCGUAGAAAGUCUUACUGGUCUGCUUUCGGACACGGGUUCGACACCCGUCGCCUCCACCA